GUUCAUUAUCACUGAACCAGUAUAUAUUUGUUUAGGGGCCAGCUGAAGGACGCCUCCGGGUGCAAGAAUUUCUCGUUGCAUUGAAGACCUGUUGGUGACCUUCUGCUGUUGUCUGCUCUAUGGUUGGGUUGUUGUCUCUUUGGCACAUUCCCCAUUUCCAUUCUCAAUUUUAUGAUGACAUAAUCAGUUUUUAAUAUUAUUUAUACAGCUAGGUUGAUUUCAAUAAGUAAUCUG
rnacentral:lncRNA from 1 species